rnacentral:rRNA from 1 species
ACGAAAAAUAACGAUACGGGACUCAUCCGAGGCCCCGUAAUCGGAAUGAGUACACUCUAAACCCUUUAACGAGGAUCAAUUGGAGGGCAAGUCUGGUGCCAGCAGCCGCGGUAAUUCCAGCUCCAAUAGCGUAUAUUAAAGUUGUUGCGGUUAAAAAGCUCGUAGUCGAAUUUGUGUCCCGCGCCGCCGGUUCAUCGCUCGCGGUGUCAACUGGCGUGUCGCGGGACGUCCUGCCGGUGGGCUUAGCCCGCUCCGCGGGCGGCCCAAUCUCAAUCCCACCGCGGUGCUCUUCACUGAGUGUCGAGGUGGGCCGGCACGUUUACUUUGAACAAAUUAGAGUGCUUAAAGCAGGCUAAAACAUCGCCUGAAUACCGUGUGCAUGGAAUAAUGGAAUAGGACCUCGGUUCUAUUUUGUUGGUUUUCGGAACCCCGAGGUAAUGAUUAAUAGGAACGGAUGGGGGCAUUCGUAUUGCGACGCUAGAGGUGAAAUUCUUGGAUCGUCGCAAGACGGACAGAAGCGAAAGCAUUUGCCAAAAACGCUUUCAUUGAUCAAGAACGAAAGUUAGAGGUUCGAAGGCGAUCAGAUACCGCCCUAGUUCUAACCAUAAACGAUGCCAGCUAGCGAUCCGCCGACGUUCCUCCGAUGACUCGGCGGGCAGCUUCCGGGAAACCAAAGCUUUUGGGUUCCGGGGGAAGUAUGGUUGCAAAGCUGAAACUUAAAGGAAUUGACGGAAGGGCACCACCAGGAGUGGAGCCUGCGGCUUAAUUUGACUCAACACGGGAAACCUCACCAGGCCCGGACACCGGAAGGAUUGACAGAUUGAGAGC